rnacentral:rRNA from 1 species
GACGAACCGUGCGAACGUUAUUCGGAAUCACUGGGCUUAAAGCGCGUGUAGGCGGGAGGGCACGUCCGUUGCUGAAAUCCCCCGGCUCAACCGGGGAACGGGCGCGGAUACGACUCUCCUUGAGGGGCGUAGGGGGGACCUGGAACUUCCGGUGGAGCGGUGAAAUGCGUUGAGAUCGGAAGGAACGCCCGUGGCGAAAGCGCAUCACUGGUCCUCUUCUGACGCUGAGGCGCGAAAGCCAGGGGAGCAAACGGGG